ACUGCCCCACUGCUCCACUUCCCAUCCAGCUCCUUGUUAAUGGCCUGGGAAAAGCAGCAGAAGAUGGCCCACAUGUUUGGGUCUCUGCCAGCCAUGGAAGAGAAUAAAUGAAGCUCCUAGCUCCUGGCUUUGGCCCGACCCAGCCUUGGCCAUUGCAACCAAGAGGGGAGUGGACCAGCAGAUGAAGUCUCUCUCUCUUUCUGUCUAUGACAGUGGCUUGGAAUUGGCUUUCAUGUUACACUUUCACUUAAGAAAGUAAAUGAAGAGCAUUAGAGGCAGAUCUUGAUUAAAAGAAUUUUAAAAGAAGCCAACAUCUUGAGAGGACCCACCACCUUUUAAAAGCACCUAUUAAUGCAAUUGCUGGGUAGAAGGAAAGGUUCUAUGACAAUUUCUACCCUUUGAUUUGGCUAAUAGGAAAUUCAUUUGAGGAAAUGUGAAGCCUAAAUUAUAUGACAUGUAUGAAUAAGGACUGAGCAGUGAAUAUGUGCUAUAUCUGUCUCUGUAGACACACACGUUUAUGGUAUGUGAGAUGCUCCAAUUGGCAACAAGCAUUAAUACAUGAAUUGGGAACUAAUCAGAUGUGUGAGAUGUGAUUGCUGUUUCUGGACUAACUAAAUAUCUCUCAGCCAUCCAAUUAUGAGGACCACUCAUUGAUCCCUUUCUAGGAAAAAAGGAAUGCACCUAAAGGGAGAGAAAGGGGAAUGGAGUUGUGAGAUACUACAGGUUCAUUGAUUCAACAAAGGCUUCUUUCCCACAGAAUCAUCUGGAAUAAUUAUUUUGCUGUGAGGACAGAUAUGAGCAUGACCCUCCCUGACUUAUCGAACAAACCUGUGGCUUGCACCCAAUCUUCAAAAACCUGCUUGUCAAGUUGUUCCUGGACUUCAGACCGGGUUACUCCAAUUUCUACCACAGCUACUGAACAAGGAGGCAAGUCCAAAGGCUUGUUGUGGAAUAAAAAGAGAAAGGCAUUUCUCAUACAUAUCAUAUGAUUUUCUGGCAUCUGAUACCAUGUUCUGGUGACACAAAGAAAUUGGUGGUCCCUUCCCCUGAGGCAGUGGAGAAAAAUACUUCAUUCCAGAGUGCCGCCUUCAGGCAGGUUAGCUGUAACAGAGAGGUGACGAACUACACAGAUUUCCUGAUAAGCAGAAGACAGUGGCAAACUGAGAAACUGACUCCAUGUCACUUACUUAGAUGGGAAGAAUAACUGAAUAUUAAGCUAGGAUCAACCUACAAUUGCAGCCAGCCUUUGAUUCCAUGUGGAAUUACUUAUUCCUUAAUACUAAGCUGACCUUACAAUUUAACAGCCAAUUGUGAUACCUUUGAGAAAGGAUGACAUGCUGUUAGACAUUCCAGAACAAUACGCAUAAGUAGGGCUUUCUUACACAGCCAAGGGUUUAGGAUAGCUCUAUCUGACACUAAUCAUGAAGGAAUUGAAACAGUAGUCAUCAGAAAGUGGGGGACUUUAGUUUCUGUCCUUACUAGAACUCAUGUACUGAGACCUCUACCCCGACACACACACAGCUAUGAAUCAUAUAAAAUUGAGUCUCAUUUCAAGAUAAAUAUAGAAUCCAGAUAAUAGCUCUUAUAUGCAUCUAUGAGAGACCCACCACCUCAAUCCCUCAUCAGACCAAAUGCUUUUGGGUUUUUGUUUUACCUGCCAUGGUUUGCCGUGAUUGAAAAUGGUGUCAAGUUCUAGACCCUAAAUACCUCCUUUAACCUUUAUCUGAAACUAAAAUUACCUUCUCUUCAAUCAAAGCUCCUCCGACACAUGCAUUUUUAUUGCUGGAAAGAGAGGUGGUCAGAUCUGAGGUGAAACAUCUAAAAGAAGAAUGAAAAGAAGAUGCUAAGAACAGUCUUCUUAAAUUGCCAGGUUUUAUUCCCUGCUAGCUUACCUUUGGGCAUUACUUAAAUUAAGUCUCCUUUUCUGAACCUGGGCCACAUUUCAAAAUCCCUCUUCUAUUAUUUUAGCCUAGAGAGACCCUAACCCAGAGAAGAAGGAGUGAUUAUCGCCACUGCCUAACCUCUUCCCUCUAGUCUAAAAUCUGUUGACUCUUCAAAAAGGUCAAAGCGGCACUGUUUCAAUUUAUGUAUUCUUCCCAGGACAGGUGCAAAUACAAGCUCAUCAAUUCUGUCCUUAUCCCUAUGGAGCUUAAUAUCCAACUGGAUGUAUGGUUGUGUGUUCUUAUCCAAUGCUUCAAUCAUCUUGCCUAGCAAAGAGCCCAGGAAAUGAAUCCUAUUUCAACCAUUUCCCUAGCACAAGGAAUAGGCAAGAGACCCUGAGAACAGGGAGCUCUACCUUUAAGACAUACAUUUUUUCUUUAAAAGCUGGUGGGAAAUCCAGCCAUUUGUUAGGACUUCACAGAUCUCAGACAUAGAGAAAGUGAUACUUUGGUUGCUUUGCUGAAGCCACUGGCAGCACAGGAAUACACCAAGUGGAGCUGAACAAGCAUGCCACAGGCAGUGAGCCAGGAUGAGGAUCUUCAGCACAGAGGAGGGCCACACAGUGCUCUCAAUAUGUACAGCACCAUGGCGUGGAGCCAAGGAAUAUGGCGAAAAAGCAUGGGUUUAGCAAUCAAGGAAGCCAACAAAUGCCAGGGGCCCCAGUAUUCCUCAUAGUUGAUUGUUCUGGGACCUCUGCCCAAGCUAUGAAGAAGAGCACCUUUUUCAAAUGACCAGAGAUGGGCAAAAAUAUUGUCUGCUAAAAUCGUUGAAAUCUUCCAAUUACUUCAGGAUUAAGGCCAAAAUGCCUUAAUCCAGUAUGCAAGUACCUCAUAGCUUAACCAACCUAUACCAAAUUUUCUACACUCCUGGGUUUUUUGCAUGCAUUUACUCAAUACUCUGAGAAUGAUGUUCUACUCAUAUACUUUGAAAAUACUCUAUUUUUUUUUAUUACCCCAUGACUUUUCCUGUUGAAAGCCACAGUAACCUUCACUGAUCUGAAAGAUUGCAAUACCUAAUGCCAACAUCAAAAUUUGUUUGUCAGAUAGGAGGUGCUUGAUAAAAUUAAUUGACUGAACCUAUAAAUGCUGUUGUUCCUUCUUGUCUGAGGCCUGAAUGAUCACAUUCUUACAUACUUUUUUAUUCUUUUGGCCAGCGUCUCUGUGACAAGUUGGCACCCCACAGCACCAGGACAUCUAUUCAAAUGGUUGUGUUCAUUCUUGGACCUGAGAGAUAGGUAGGGAAAGAACAAUGGCUAUCCUGUGUGAUGGUUCAUUUUGUGUGCCUGCUUGACUAGGCCAUGGAAAACCCAAAUAUCUGAACUAACAUUAUUUCUAGAUGUCUGUGAGGACAUUUGAACAGAUUACUGGAUGAGUUGGUGAACAAAAUAAAGACCAGGCUCACAUCUUCUCUCCCGGAUCUCUAGUUUUCAAGUCUGCAAAAUAUACCAUCAGUUUUUCUAGGUCUUCUACUUAUAGACAGCAGAUAAUAGGACUUCCCAGUCUGUUUAGCCAUGUGAGCUAAUUUUUGAUAGUAGAUAAUAUUUUAUACACUAUUGAUUUUAUACAAAUUAUAUUCACAUCCUAUUGGAGAUACGUGUGUGUAGGUGUUUUUAUUCUACUGAUUUUGUUUUUCUGGAAAACGUUAAUAUUCUCUGUCAUGCUGGCAUCUGCAACAGAGAAUGUGCCUGAUCAGUAUUCAUACAUAAAACUAAUAUGGGGGCCGGAGCUGUGGCAAAGUGGGUUAAUGACCAGGCCUGAAGUACUGGCAUCCCAUAUGGGCGCCAGUUUGAGACCCGGCUGCUCCACUUCCUGUCCAGCUCUCUGCUAUGGCCCAGGAAAGCAGUAGAAGAUGGCCCAAGUCCUUGGGCCCCUGCACCCACGUGGGAGACCCAGAAGAAGCUCCUGGCUUCAGAUCAGCGCAGCUCAGCUCUGGCUGCUGCGGUCAUUUGGGGAGUGAACCAUCGGAUGGAAGAUGUCUCUCUCUCUCUCUGCUUCUCCUCUCUG